UGAAAAAUUACCAUCAAAUCCUUACGCUUUCGCUUCUAUUCUUCGAGCUUCUCUUUCCGACUGGAGAAGAAAGGGGAAGAAAGGAGUUUGGUUAAAGUUACCUGUGGAACAAUCAGAAUUUGUCCCAAUAGCUAUAAAGGAAGGUUUUGAG